AGGAGCCAGCAGGGGAGAGGUUCCUGCACAGCAUUAGAUGUGUCUGACUUCUAAGGAAAAUGAGACUCCAGACACAUUGAUGGGGCAUCAACAAGACUGUGGAUAGGAAAUGAGUGAGCUGCCAACUAUUGAGCUGCUGAGCCGGAGACCACAAGACUCCACUUCUGUCCCCAUCAUCGCAGAGCCCUGCCAUCUGGAGCAGACCUCUGAGGAGAACUCAGCCCGCAGUGACCAUGUUCAGCAGGGCCUCGAGACAGAAGUGCAUCCUUAGCCAGGCCAGCUCAGCGCUGGGGAGAAGCAAGCCCAGAGAAGAUGCUGCAGACAAGGAGGAACAGGGGCUCCCACAGCACCCAUUCCACCAACUGAGAAAGAGACCACAGGCACAGAAGAGGGCACCACAGCAGGACAGUCCAAUCAGGGCUCUAGGACCACUUGACCAGGCUCUCCAGGCAGUGCCAGUGGCUCCACUGUGUCUGGAUCAUCUGUGGCAGGGCAACACACCAAGGCUCCAUCAUCCCAGGGCUCUGGCACCACUGGACCAGCACCUAAUGACUCUGGAAAAACAGGGCCACCUGAAGAAAGCUCUGGGACCUCAGGCAAGCCUCAGUAAGGAUGUCAGUCCACAAGCUCAUCUGUCCAUCGACCUGGCACCUCUCAACCAGCUGCAGUGCAGACUAGAACCACUGGGCUAUCUGUCAUGGAGGCAGGAACCACAGGGUAAUCCGUGCAAGACUCCAGGACCACCCAGCCUGGCUCAGCAGGCAGUAGCAGUGGAUCCACUGGGGCUGGAACAGCAGGAGCAGGGCGCCAGACCACGGCUCCAUCAUCCCAGGGCUCUGGCACCA